AGACUGGCAUUGUCGCAAUACUGUGAAGGAUAAUUUCUUCAAUUUUUGAAUGGGGUGGAUGCCAGGAGUGUGCUGUAACAGAGCCAACCCUUAAUGUCUUUCACCCCAGCAAAGGACAGUAAGUUCAUCUGGGUGAGACUGCCCUCCCCUCCGAGAAGUUCAUCCCCACUGCCUGCAUAGACCUGGAUUACAGCAGGAACACAUGCCGUCAGCUACAUCAUACACACAUAACAGAUAUUGUGAGCGGCCCUCAGCUGUGUGCUGCCUUUGGUUUCAUGUACACGUGCAAGCCCUUUGUGCCACUACGCAAACCAUAACUUCCGUGCAACCCGAGACCGCAGAGCGAAAGAAACAACCUGCACAAGAAACCGCUGUGAGAGAGGACCACACACACAACUAGCCGAGGUGAAGUACCCAACCGUUGAUAGAAACAAGCUUCAACAGAGGGAAACGCACAACUUUAUUUACUGUCAACAUCUGCUUACAAGAACAAGUGACCUCCAGACUUUUUUGACAUGGAGGCAUACAUGUACAUGCCGAGAAUGGUCAGAGUUGUUGGAGGGGUCACUGUCGGUCAGGAAUAUUACCAGGCAGCUUCUGAAGCUAUGGGUUUCUGAAGU